rnacentral:misc_RNA from 1 species
ACGAGAAACACCCCAAUCGGCGGGGUGUGAGCCGUGAGGGGUUCUCGUCUGUAGUGGACGAGGGCCGGGUGCACAAUAACAGGCAGUCGCCAGACACGCUAUUGGGCCCUGAGAUAACACUCGGCCGGCUUGGUCGACGUGGUGUCCCUCCAUCUUGGUGGUGGGGUGUGGUGUUUGAGUAU